AUGGAAGUCCUAGCUCCACUCCUCUGCCUCCUUUUACUCUGGCUUCCAGAUGCCACUGGACAAGCCCUGUUGACAGAGUCUCCAGCCUCACUGUCUUUGUCUCCAGGAGAAAGAGCUACCCUCAAUUGCCAGGCCAGUCAGAGUGUUAGCACCAACUUGGCCUGGUACCAGCAGAAACCCGGGAAGGCUCCCAGGCUCCUUAUCUAUAGAUAAGAAUAUCUGUGAGGGCCACUGGCAUCCCAGCCCAAUUCAGUGGUAGUGGGUCUGGUACAGAUUUUACUCUCACAAUCAGCAGCCUGGAGCCUGAGGAUUAUGCAGUUUAUCACUGUUAUCAGUAUAACAAUUGGUAUCCCACAGUGAUUCAACGUGAAACAAAAACAUACUAA